AUACGGAAGGUCCGGGCGUUAUCCGGAUUUAUUGGGUUUAAAGGGAGCGCAGGCGGAGAUGCAAGCGUGACGUCAAAUUUCGGGGCUCAACCCCGUCUCGCGUCGCGAACUGCGUCCCUUGGUUGCGGGAAGGGGAGGCGGAACUCGUGGCGUAGCGGGGCAAUGCAUAGAUAUCACGAAGAACUCCGAUCGCGAAGGCAGCCUUCCGGCCCGUCAACGACGCUCAUGCACGAAAGUGCGGGGAUCGAACAGGAUUAGAUACCCUGGUAGUCCGCACAGUAAACGAUGAAUACUUGUUUUCGGCGAUAUAAUGUCGGAGGCAAAGCGAAAGCGAUAAGUAUUCCACCUGGGGAGUACGCCGGCAACGGUGAAACUCAAAUGAAUUGGCGGGG
rnacentral:rRNA from 1 species